rfam:Moniliophthora roreri strain MCA 2952 kmer90.95755, whole genome shotgun sequence.
ACCCAGAUAGCUCAAUUGGCUAGAGCAUGAUGAACAAUUAUAUAUGAACCAGGUUCAACAUCUUAACAUUGUGGGUUCAAGUCCCACUCUGGUCA